ACUACAUGGAAGGCUUUAUGGGCUAUAGCCCAGACAACAUUUUGGCCCAAAAACCCCUAAGUAUAUGUCCCUUCAGCCCAUUGCCCAUACCAGUCCAAAGAAAAAAAAAAAAAAAAGUAUCUGUUGAAGACUUGAAGUCCGAAAUCGCAUACUCCCAGUCUCCCACAGGCCGCAGCAGGUCUUGAGUCAAGUACUCACUAGGUCAGUUGAAGUGAAGGAUUGAAUACUCCCACAAACCGCCGCUGGAAAUCUCCGUGAACCCACAAUCCGAUUUGGGGAUCCCUACUUCACAGGCAGACCUGCUUUUGUGCGUUUGUGCGUUUACUGGUUCUGGGUUUACUGGUUUUACUGGAGUUGGCGAGCGACGGAGCGAGUUGUUGGCUUGUUGCUGACUUGCUGUGAAUCUGGAUUUCUGGGUAAGUGGGUAACUGGGUAUUGAGUCUAUCCCCAUCUUUAGUUGAUUUGUGACUUGCCGUUGGUUAUUUGGUUAAUUGGUUUAGUUGAUUUGAUUAGUUGAUUUGUGACUUGCCGUUUCUGGGUCUAUUAUUGAACUACAGGGUAAUUGGUUUCAUGGUUUAAUUCAUUACUUACUCUGUGACUUGCCGUUUCUGGGUCUAUUAUUGCUUAUUUGGUUAAUUGGUUUCAUGGUUUGAUGGUUAAUAAAAAACAAACUUCGAAAUAAGAUGGAAGAUGAGUUUCUUGAUAAUUUGAUGGUUCUCUACAUCGAAAAAGAAUUGGCCGAUAGCAUUGAUAAUGAUUCUGUGAUUGCUGAGUUUGAAGUGAGUGGGCCUCGGAGGGUACGAUUUAGUUAGUUUAUUGUUAUUUUACAACAAAUGUAUGCUUGUAAUUUUUAAUUUA